rnacentral:rRNA from 1 species
AACGAACGCUGGCGGCAUGCUUAACACAUGCAAGUUGAACGCAGGAUAGGACUUCGGUUCUAUUGCUGAGUAGCAAACGGGUGAGUAACGCGUGGGAAUCUACCUUUUUGUGGGGGAUAACUGAGGGAAACUUCAGCUAAUACCGCAUAAGCUCUACGGAGGAAAGGCUUCGGCCGCAAGAAGAGGAGCCCGCGUCAGAUUAGGUAGUUGGUAGGGUAAAAGCCUACCAAGCCAAUGAUCUGUAGCUGGUCUGAGAGGAUGAUCAGCCACACUGGGACUGAGGCACGGCCCAGACUCCUACGGGAGGCAGCAGUGGGGAAUAUUGGACAAUGGGGGAAACCCUGAUCCAGCAAUGCCGCGUGAAUGAAGAAGGCCUUAGGGUUGUAAAGUUCUUUCACCUGUGAAGAUUAUGACGGUAGCAGGAGAAGAAGCCCCGGCUAACUCCGUGCCAGCAGCCGCCGUAA